GGGUCGUUAGCUCAGUCGGUAGAGCAGUCGCCUCUUAAGCGAACGGUCGCAGGUUCGAUUCCUGCACGACCCA
rnacentral:tRNA from 4 species